GACGAACGCUGGCGGCGUGCUUAACACAUGCAAGUCGUACGGUAAGGCCCUUUCGGGGGUACACGAGUGGCGAACGGGUGAGUAACACGUGAGUAACCUGCCCACAACUUUGGGAUAACGCUAGGAAACUGGUGCUAAUACUGGAUAUGUGCUCCUGCUGCAUGGUGGGGGUUGGAAAGCUCCGGCGGUUGUGGAUGGACUCGCGGCCUAUCAGCUUGUUGGUGGGGUAGUGGCCUACCAAGGCGGCGACGGGUAGCCGGCCUGGGAGGGUGACCGGCCAAAUUGGGACUGAGAUACGGGCCAGACUCCUACGGGGGGGAGCAGUGGGGAAUAUUGCACAAUGGGCGCAAGCCUGAUGCAGCAACGCCGCGGGCGGGAUGACGGCCUUCGGGUUGGAAACCGCUUUCAGCAGGGACGAAGCUUUUUGUGACGGUACCUGCAGAAGAAGCACCGGCUAACUACGUG
rnacentral:rRNA from 1 species